UACGUAGGGGGGCUAGCGUUGUCCGGAUUUAUUGGGCGUAAAGAGCGUGUAGGCGGCCAGGUAGGUCUGGUGUGAAAACUCGAGGCUUAACCUUGAGAUGUCAUCGGAAACCAUUUGGCUAGAGUCCGGAAGAGGAAAGUGGAAUUCCUGGUGUAGCGGUGAAAAUGCGCAGAGUAAUACAGGAAAGAACAACCAAUUGGCGGAAAGCAGGCUUCUGGGACGGUACUGACGACUGG
rnacentral:rRNA from 1 species